rnacentral:rRNA from 1 species
GGGUGCGAUCAUACCAGCACUAAUGCACCAGAUCCCAUAUGAACACCUUAGUUAAGCGUGCUUUGGCGAGAGUACUACUAGGAUGGGUGACCUCCUAGGUAGUCCUCGUGUUCCACCCU